GCUAGUUGUAUUAACUAUUAGUUAAUGCAAGAUCGACUACGUCGACUAAAGUUCUAGGUAGAAUAAUGAUGAUGACAAUUUUUUACCUAUAUGUCUUGACCAAGUCUCGUGCCAGCAGUCGCGGAAAUACGUGGAAGACUAGUGUUAUUCAUCUUUAAUAGGUUUAAAGGGUACCUAGACGGUAUUUCUAGCCCAAAAUAGGGUACGGAUUUACUAGAGUUUUAUGUGAGGAGGGGAGUACUCGUGGAGUAGAGAUGAAAUUUUGUGAUACUAUGAGGAAACUGGUGGCGGCGAAAGCAACCUUCUAUGUAUAAACUGACGUUGAGGGACGAAGGCUUGGGUAGCAAAUAGGAUUAGAUACCCUAGUAGUCCAAGCAGACAAUUCUGAAUGCCAUAGAUUAGAUUAUUUUUGGUCUAUAAAUGAAAGUGUAAGCAUUCCACCUUAGGAGUAAUGUGGCAACACAGGAACUGAAAUCAUUAGACCGUUUCUGAAACCAGUAGUGAAGUAUGUUAUUUAAUUUGAUGGUCCACAAAAAACCUUACCACAACUUGAAUAUUAUUAAAUUAAUACAAGCGUUGCACGGCUGUCUUCAGUUAAUGUCGUGAGAUUUUGGUUAACUCCAUUAAUUAACGUAAACCCUUACUUUAUUU
rnacentral:rRNA from 1 species